GAUGAACGCUGGCGGCGUGCCUAAUACAUGCAAGUCGAGCGAACAGACGAGGAGCUUGCUCCUUCGACGUUAGCGGCGGACGGGUGAGUAACACGUAGGUAACCUACCUAUAAGACUGGGAUAACUUCGGGAAACCGGAGCUAAUACCGGAUAAUAUUUCGAACCGCAUGGUUCGAUAGUGAAAGAUGGCUUUGCUAUCACUUAUAGAUGGACCUGCGCCGUAUUAGCUAGUUGGUAAGGUAACGGCUUACCAAGGCAACGAUACGUAGCCGACCUAAGAGGGUGAUCGGCCACACUGGAACUGAGACACGGUCCAGACUCCUACGGGAGGCAGCAGUAGGGAAUCUUCCGCAAUGGGCGAAAGCCUGACGGAGCAACGCCGCGUGAGUGAUGAAGGUCUUCGGAUCGUAAAACUCUGUUAUUAGGGAAGAACAAACGUGUAAGUAACUGUGCACGUCUUGACGGUACCUAAUCAGAAAGCCACGGCUAACUACGUG
rnacentral:rRNA from 1 species